GAUGCAAAUUGAUUCUUCCGAUUAUGCCGCCACAAAGAUCAUUUUUUCUUGUUUUCAUCGACUUUCCUGUCUGUAUAAAAGCUGCUUGUAACGAUAAAAGACGAGACAUAAUAAAUCCAAAAGAUGAAAAAGGUUAUAAAUACACACGAAAGUGGAUUAUGUUCCUAGAAGGCCAAACAUAUAUAAGCAGAAAGUGCUCAAAGGGAAAAUUGGAGAAGGAAACAAGCAAACAGCAUAAAUGGAGCAAUUAAAUAUGGCAUUGACUAUGAUAAAGAGUGAUGAGAACACUAGAAGGCGUAAUGUACGCAUUAUGGACAGUGAUCUAUCACCUUCACCGAGAUGUAUUAAGAGUAGAAGACGUGACACAGCUGCUGUUGCACUUAGAUGUGAAGGUCAACAGAUCAAACAAGAAGUCGGCCCAACUGCUCCAACAACAGUGAAAAGAAGUUCAAGAUUCCGAGGUGUAAGCAGGCAUAAAUUGACGGGUCGAUAUGAAGCACACUUGUGGGAUAAACUCUCAUGGAAUGCAACUCAGAAGAAAAAGGGAAAGCAAGGUAACUUAACUCAUUCGCCACUAUUUUCAGCUAGAUUUCUACCCAAUGGUGGUGCCUGACAUGAAAUCUUCUGUUUUCUUCCACUGAAUGUACUCUGGGCUGCAAAAUUCAAAAUAAACAGUCUAUCUUGGUGAGUAUUAUUUAGCUAACGAAGUUUUUAAUCUUGUAUAUGUAUGCAUGAAGAAUGAAAGUAAGACAAAUUAAGACUCGGACCUUGAUUUAUUAAACUUUCUCAGGGGCAUAUGAUGAUGAGGAAGCUGCAGCUAGAGCAUAUGAUUUGGCUGCACUCAAGUAUUGGGGGACAUCAACUUUUACCAAUUUUCCAGUAUGAUUAUAAACUGUGAUAUGCUUCUACCAACUUUAUUCAUGCCAAAUACAAGCUUCAGACAAAUGAAUUCCCUGAUAUUUUCUGCAGAUAUCUGAUUAUGAGAAGGAAAUUGAAAUUAUGCAGAAUGUCACAAAAGAAGAGUACCUAGCCUCACUAAGAAGGUAUCAUUUCACUAUCUUAUGUGAGAAAAAUUAAGGUUUUUGACCAACGAAUGUAUCUAAACUAUCUAAACUUAUUUACUGCAGAAAAAGUAGUCGCUUUUCAAGAGGAGUAUCUAACUAUAUAAACUUAUUUACUGCAGAAAAAGUAGUGGCUUUUCAAGAGGAGUAUCGAAGUACAGAGGAGUUGCCAGGUAUAUUAUGAGAUCAUUAUUAUAUAUCAAUUUCUUUUUUGAAUACUUUUGGGGAUUGUUCUAAACGCAUCAAUGACAAUAAAUGCAGACACCAUCACAAUGGAAGGUGGGAAGCUAGGAUAGGAAGAGUUUUUGGAAAUAAGUACCUCUACCUUGGCACUUACAGUUAGUCACCUCAAAAAUAAUACCCCAGAGAUAUUCGUAGUAAAACAGAGAGAAAAUAUUUAUAAUUCCAUGUCUAUGUAUUUUUAAGUUGUAUUUUUGACUACAGGUACACAAGAAGAGGCUGCUCGUGCAUAUGAUAUAGCUGCAAUUGAGUACAGGGGGAUAAAUGCUGUUACUAAUUUUGACUUGAGUACCUACAUCAGAUGGUUGAGGCCAGGAGCAAAUAAUUCAGUUUCAGCUCAGGAACCAAAUUUUAGCCAAGAGUCGCAAGCAUUAUUACCCCCUCUUUGUUCAUGUGAAAAAUCCUUGUCCCCUUGCUCGACAACUAGAGCCUUCAAUGUAGAUGACC
rnacentral:lncRNA from 1 species